rnacentral:rRNA from 1 species
UACGAAGGGGGCUAGCGUUGUUCGGAAUUACUGGGCGUAAAGCGCACGUAGGCGGAUGUGCCAGUCAGGGGUGAAAUCCCGAGGCUCAACCUCGGAACUGCCUCCGAUACAGCACGUCUCGAGUCCGGAAGAGGUGAGUGGAAUUCCUAGUGUAGAGGUGAAAUUCGUAGAUAUUAGGAAGAACACCAGUGGCGAAGGCGGCUCACUGGUCCGGUACUGACGCUGAGGUGCGAAAGCGUGGGGAGCAAACAGG